AGAGUUUGAUCCUGGCUCAGGACGAACGCUGGCGGCGUGCCUAACACAUGCAAGUCGAACGGAGAAUUUUAUUUCGGUAGAAUUCUUAGUGGCGAACGGGUGAGUAACGCGUAGGCAACCUGCCCUUUAGACGGGGACAACAUUCCGAAAGGAGUGCUAAUACCGGAUGUGAUCAUCGUGCCGCAUGGCAGGAUGAAGAAAGAUGGCCUCUACAAGUAAGCUAUCGCUAAAGGAUGGGCCUGCGUCUGAUUAGCUAGUUGGUAGUGUAACGGACUACCAAGGCGAUGAUCAGUAGCCGGUCUGAGAGGAUGAACGGCCACAUUGGGACUGAGACACGGCCCAAACUCCUACGGGAGGCAGCAGUGGGGAAUCUUCCGCAAUGGACGAAAGUCUGACGGAGCAACGCCGCGUGAGUGAUGAAGGAUUUCGGUCUGUAAAGCUCUGUUGUUUAUGACGAACGUGCAGUGUGUGAACAAUGCAUUGCAAUGACGGUAGUAAACGAGGAAGCCACGGCUAACUACGUGCCAGCAGCCGCGGUAAUACGUAGGUGGCGAGCGUUGUCCGGAAUUAUUGGGCGUAAAGAGCAUGUAGGCGGCUUAAUAAGUCGAGCGUGAAAAUGCGGGGCUCAACCCCGUAUGGCGCUGGAAACUGUUAGGCUUGAGUGCAGGAGAGGAAAGGGGAAUUCCCAGUGUAGCGGUGAAAUGCGUAGAUAUUGGGAGGAACACCAGUGGCGAAGGCGCCUUUCUGGACUGUGUCUGACGCUGAGAUGCGAAAGCCAGGGUAGCGAACGGGAUUAGAUACCCCGGUAGUCCUGGCCGUAAACGAUGGGUACUAGGUGUAGGAGGUAUCGACCCCUUCUGUGCCGGAGUUAACGCAAUAAGUACCCCGCCUGGGGAGUACG
rnacentral:rRNA from 1 species